rnacentral:tRNA from 1 species
GAAAUGUGAUUGAUCAAGAAAAAGCUGCUAACUUUAACUUAAACGGUUAAAAUCCGUUUACAUUUCU